GAUCCUGGCUUAGGAUGAACGCUAGCUACAGGCUUAACACAUGCAAGUCGAGGGGCAGCAUGUUGGUUGCUGCAACCGAUGAUGGCGACCGGCGCACGGGUGAGUAACGCGUAUCCAACCUUCCCCUUAGUAGGGCAUAGCCCGUAGAAAUGCGGAUUAAUACCCUAUGUUCUUCGAAGCGGUCAUCCAAUUUGAAGCAAAGAUUCAUCGCUAAGGGAUGGGGAUGCGUCCGAUUAGGUUGUUGGCGGGGUAACGGCCCACCAAGCCAUCGAUCGGUAGGGGUUCUGAGAGGAAGGUCCCCCACAUUGGAACUGAGACACGGUCCAAACUCCUACGGGAGGCAGCAGUGAGGAAUAUUGGUCAAUGGGCGAGAGCCUGAACCAGCCAAGUAGCCGUGCAGGAUGACGGCCCUAUGGGUUGUAAACUGCUUUUAUCAGGGGAUAAAGUGACCCACGUGUGGGUUUUUGUAGGUACCUGAUGAAUAAGGACCGGCUAAUUCCGUGCCAGCAGCCGC
rnacentral:rRNA from 1 species